AAUCACUGAAAAAGUAAUGGGCUUGAAGUAAUAAAAAUACAAAAAUUAGUUUCUACACAGCCAGGUGCUUUAAAACAGCAAUUAAUUUUAAAUAAUGCUCUAAAAAGAUGAUUUCAGCAUUGCAACCCAGGUUGGCUUCAACUCAGGCAGGGACACGGCCCCAUUGAUGUCUCCCCCUUUCAUGGGGGGAUUUGAUGGACUCCAGCUUGUGCAGGUGCUCACUGCUGUUGUGAGUUCGAGGGAAUAACAGUCAUGUCAUGUCCAGAAGACACAUUUCACAGAGCUCUUACCAUCAUCAUUACAUUCUUAUAUUAUUUCUGAUAUCCUUUCUUCACUCCUCUUUGAAAUGUUCCUUGAACCUUGGGGAGAAUGUUGUAGAUUUCUUGUUUAGGGUUGGGCACUCAAUAGUCACCUGAUCUCAGCAUUUUGAUCAGUUAUGAGUCUCUAAAUUACCCAUAACCCAUUGCAAAACUGAAGUCCUGACCUAUGCUGAGAAUAGCAUUUAUCCAUGAGUAACAAAUAUUUAGGAGGUAAAUUGGCACUUCCACAACAAUAGUAGAUCCCCCCUGUGACCUAGGUCCUCCCCAGCCAGGAAUUUUUGCUCAGGUUUCCAGUGCCAGGUCUGAAUUCACUCCAGUGGUACAGGCCUCAAAUCCUGCCAUAGAGUGAUGAGUUACCCCGUAUCUUCAUGCCCCUAUUAUACCAAAGGGCACAGCUUGCCUGGCAGGUUGUCAUUGCAGUGUGUAGGGGUCACAGCUGGAUAAGGACCAUUGAUGAUGUUUGUCCCCCAGCAGCCUAUACAGCACGAUCUGGAACUAUGGAAUCUAGCCAGCUCAGUUUCUCUAUGCUGGUAGAUGCUGGAUCUUACGUCAACACUACUUUUAUUUUAGUAUGGUGCUGGGGAUUCAACACAGGGUCUCACAAAACAUGAUAAGUUUACACCCAACCACUGAGAUUCACUAGAGGUUCCUUUGACAGUUUCUUUGUUGUUUUUGCUUUUUUCCAGGGUUUUUAUGUGUAACAGCCCUAGCUGUCCUGGAACUCACUCUGUAGACCAGGCUGCCCUCGAACUCACAGAGAUGUGCCUGUCUCCCGAGUGCUGAGAUUUGGAAGUCUCUUUAAAGCUCCAGCAUCUUUUAUGAAGUAGUGAGAGUUCCUGGCCUAACUCCUAAAUGGUGCAGUGACUGUAUUUCCUGCAUGGUGGGUCACUGAAGAGACCGCAGGGGUCCCAGGAUGCCCUUCCUUCUGUGAGCUCUCUGGCACCCAGCUGGUGCUGUGUCCUGUUUCAAGCCAACCUCAGAUGUCAACAGCCUCUAACUAAAUGACAGGACAAUGUUUGGACAGUGGAUCUGAGCUGGAUACAUUCUCUGAGGAAGAAAAUGAAGACACAACCUUAAAUCUCUGGUCAUCUUUGUUGCUUCUAACAGUCAUGAGUUGUAGCAGCAACUUCUAGAAAAUGAAAAGAGGAAGUCAGGCUUGUUUUUUCCUUCACAAAGCAAAGUAGCUUUGUGUAGACAAGGCUCAUGAAGAAAAAAGGAAAAAGCUGGGAAAUUAGGGAAUGUAUCUGAUAGAGAAACUGCUUCAAGCUUCCUGCUUCAAAGUGUGCUGCUUGAGGUGUCAGUAGAUCUGGAAGAUAGAGGAACACCAGCUGCAACUAGAGCCCUGUGUGACAGGGUGAGCUGACCUCUGCAAAAGACCUCCAUGGUGGAUCCACAGUCCUGGGCAAGCUGACAGCAGAGGACCAGCCUGCAUCUGACACACCUACAGGGCAGAAGCAUUUCUUCCCUGAGAGAUCCUGUUCUGCCUGAGAUAUGCAGACAAGAUGUAACACUGGACACAAAGGAAUCUCUCAGUCCAAUCUGAGAGUGUGGAGUAGACAGCCACUGGUCUUCCAGGCAUAUCAAGAAUGGCCCCACAGGUCUCAGUAUCUAACUCUGUGACAGAACUCAGGUUGCUUUGGAAGGUUGUUGGUUUCCUUUGAACCUGUUAGAAGACUUUCUGUUCAAAUGACAUAUUCUGAAGGGAGUUGUGUGGGAUGAGUUGAAGGAGUUGUCUAUUUAGAGUUUGAAUGUAGUGCACCAAGUGGAGUUGUUGGGGGAGUUUGUUAAGCAUAAGGGAUUAGAACUAGGGACAUGGGCUGGCUUAAGGCAGUGAAUAAUUAUAUUCACAGCUCUAUCUGUGGCCUCAUUUUCUUGUGUCUCCCAACUCACAAUAUUUACAAAUAUACAUGGAGUAAUCAUGAAACACUAGAGUGACCCUGGGGACAAGACACUGAAGGAUUCAGUUAUGGUAGCCACUGUUUAUUUAUUCUCCAUACUGGGCACGUUUGGUGGAACUUGUGGAUAGGUUUUGGGUGGAUAUUAGUUGUUAUUUUACUUGAAUUUGAUUCAAGAAUACAUCACAUAGUAUGAUGUUAUGAACAGGUAAAGAUGUUUGAAGUUCUGCUGUUAGAGUAUGCCCUGCUGUUACAGUAUGUAACUUCAAUUUCAAACAAGGAAUUACUAAGAAGCUAUUGUUUUAGGUUCAUUGAAAAAUUAAGAAGGGAAAGAAACCUCCCAUGUACUUCUACCCACUUCCCUCUAAAUAUCCCUGCUACCAACAUCCCAACCAGAGUGGUACUCUUGCUACAGAUGCAGCGAUGAACUUACACUCACAUAGCAGUCUCUGCCAAAGCCCGGAGUUCACAUUAUGGCCACUCUUGGUGCACAAUCUUCAGGUUUGGACAAAUUGACAUUGUAUCCAGUACAAUAUGUCAUAGAAAGUAUUUAUAAUGUCCUUCUAGGCCUCUGGUUUUUUGGAAGUAUGUACUCAGAUUACACCCCCAUCCCAUAAAUUUCUCCUUAGAAAGCCAAACAGGUGCUGAAAGUUGUAAUGAGAACUGGAGUUUGGGGUCUCACCUCGGUGAAAACCAUGUCUGUGGGACCAAGCCCAAACUGAAAUCACCAGUGUUUUCAUCUUGCUGAGCCCAUGCUUGCUUCACUACGAUAGUUUUUGUUGUUGAUAACUUUCCUGCCUGAAGUGCAUUUGUGCCCAUGGGAACAAGGUCUAUGUUCUCCUGAAUCUCCAAGUAGCUGCCUAGGGUACCAGACACCUUAAAGUCACACAGUAACACAGUCACUGUCUUAAUUAGGGUUUCAUUGCUGUGAAGAGACACCGUGACCAUGGCAACUCUUAUAAAGGAAAACAUUUAGUUGGGGCUGGCUUACAAUUCAGAGGGUUAGUCAUUUAUCAUCAUGGCAGGAAACAUGGCAGCAAGCAGGCAGACAUGGUGCUGGAGAGGUGUCUGAGGUUCUACAACUGGGUCCUCAGGCAGCAGGAAAGAGAAUGAGCCACUGGGCCUGGCUUGAGCUUCUGAAACCUCAAAGCCCCAAACCUCUGUGACACACUUCCUUUAACAAGGCCACAUCUACUCCACAAGGCCACACCUCCUAAUAGUGCCACUCCCUAUGAACCUACUAGGGUCAUUUUCAUUCAGACCACAACAGUGACAAAAUGGUUUCUGAGAUGGUUGCACAAUAGAACUAUCUGGCAAAGAAAGGAGAGUUCGGCUUACAUGUGUCUUACCCAAGCAGUUUUAAAGACACUCAUGAAGAUAUUAUUUGCAUGACCAAAGAAAUUAUGUUUUUUAAUUUGGUUCUAGGAAAUGGAGUUGAGACUUUGGGGAACUGAGCCAUAUGUUGUCUCUUGUGUUAUCUAUUCCACUUCAUACCAAAAUUGUGUUCAGAGCCUGGCAAGAUGGCUCAGUGGGUAAAGGCACUUGCUGCCAAGUCUAACCACCUGAGUUUGAUCCCUGAGAAACACAUGGUGGAAGGAAAGAACUGAUUCCUGCCCAUUGUCCUCUGACCUCCAUACAUGUGCAUACACCCAAAUGAGUGCGUGCGUGCGCGCGCACACGCAUGAAUGCAUGCAUGCACACACUGAAAUGUAACAAGUUUUUCUGAAAAAAACAAAAUGGACCUAUUUUUAGAAUGGGGGUUUAGAGCUUGUGCUUGUGGUUUUGAGUCAAAACUCAGGAAAUGACAAAGGAGUACACGUUUGAAACAGUACCUGGGAACCACUUUAGGAAAACAACCUGGCACUUGGCAAAGCCAGUGCCCCAGCCUCCUUCAGCAUACAAACAAACCUUUCAGUCACCGUUCCAUACAAAUCUUUUCUUUGUAUUCCUUCCCCUUUUAAGAAAAAAAAAUGCAGCUAGGAUUCACAAAAAGAAAUAAAGUAUUCCCAGCUGUUAACUAAACAAAACCUCUCUUGAUUCCACAGGAACAAACUCUGACCAGAAUCAUGUGCUUUGUGCCACACUCUUCGGCCAUAAACCCAGGCUCUUCAGAGGGGAAGACAAACCUGAGUUGUCACUGCAAUGAUUAACUGAGCAUGUGACUUCCUUCAGUUCCCAAAGCCCCAGGAGGCUCCUGGGUAACCCAAACCAGUCCAUCAAAGAUACAAACAACUACCAGUAUGUCCAUUGAUGUUCUGUGCAGAUUAUACACUUUUUAUGCAUAGUGGGAAAAGAAAUGAUUUUUUUAAAUGAGAGCUUUAUUUUGAGUUUUUCAUAUUGCUGCCUUCUUUCCAUCUCUUGGUUAUCUCUUGUCGUCCUUCCAAAGAGCUGUGGAGGAGACAUCUAUGUUUCUCAAUUUUCCUCUACUCCUGUAUAUUGGUAACUUACUUAUCUCAAUGCUGUGACAAAAACACCUGCCAGAAGCAUCUUCAGGAGGGAAAGGGUUAUUGUGACUCAUGGUCUUAGGUGAUGUAAUCCAUCAUAGUGGGAAAGUCAUGGCAGCAGAGUGUGAUAUGGUUGGUCAUGCUCCAUCCACAGUCAGGAACUAGGGGAGAGAAAUGCUGGUGCUUAGCUGGAUUUCUUCUUUGUAAGCAGCCCAAAACCCAAACCCAUGAUGCGAGGUCACCCACAUUUAAGGUAGUAGGCCUUCACUUGUAGAAGGCACAGAUAAGCAAACAUUCCUUGGAGCAACCAGGAAUGUUGGUUACACAGGGUUGUCUCCUCAGUGAAGGAAAUAAACACCUGUUUUCCACCCAGAAGGCUGGGAGUGGAUGAUGUUAAUGACCUGAUGACCUUCACUAUCUAUAGAGCCAGAAUCCUCCAGAAUUGUUUCUCAACCAAUAGAUCCCAUCCUUAGGGGAGAUGUCACAUGUACUUUAUAGGUUGCUGACCUCUAUGCUACCUUCGUCAGAGACCGCACCAGAUCUUAG
ensembl:lncRNA